CUACCCUUGACAUGCUAGGAAUCUUGCAGAGAUGUGAGAGUGCUCGAAAGAGAACCUAGACACAGGUGCUGCAUGGCCGUCGUCAGCUCGUGUCGUGAAAUGUUGGGUUAAGUCCCGCAACGAGCGCAACCCUUGUCAUCAGUUGUUACGAAAGGGCACUCUGAUGAGACUGCCGGUGACAAACCGGAGGAAGGUGGGGAUGACGUCAGGUCCUCAUGGCCCUUAUGGGUAGGGCUACACACGUCAUACAAUGGCCGGUACAGAGGGCUGCCAACCCGCGAGGGGGAGCCAAUCCCAGAAAACCGGUCGUAGUCCGGAUCGCAGUCUGCAACUCGACUGCGUGAAGUCGGAAUCGCUAGUAAUCGCGGAUCAGCUUGCCGCGGUGAAUA
rnacentral:rRNA from 1 species